UAAAAAGUUUGUGAAUGCAAUUAGACUAAAUUAAAACACGCAAAUUAAACCUAACUAACAGUAUUAAAACGAUUGGAUAUGAUAGCUAACAUCAUGACUAAAUUAUCACAACUAAAAAUAGAAAACAUAAAGUAAAAGAAAAUAUUAAACGCCUGACACUGUAACACAAAUAUCUAGCACAAUUAAAAUUGUUAAUAUGCAUCACUAAAUUAAAAAGAUAAAAUAAACCUACAGCAUGAGUAAAGACAAAAUAAAUNGAACAAAUUCCUUCCAUUAAGGCAUUCCAAUGUAUAUACUAUAAAAAUAAAAAUAAAAAGAAAUAAUUUGGUUCAAUUAUUAAGACAAUNAAACAAGACCUUGAAAACCGUGCUUUCCAACAAACAUCAUUCCAAUAACUUCAUUGUAUUCAUUUUGCAAAAGAAAACUAGAAAUGUCUGCACCGUGCAAACCCCUAUCCAAUCUCCUAACUUCUUCUUUUCUUUAAGUAAAAUGAAAAAGCCUUGCCUCCAAAAAUUAAUUCACGUGCUUCUUCCCAAAUAACAUUAAAUCACCGCUGGAGCUCCACUAAAUUCCAAAGCUAAAUUGCAAUGCAUUACCCAAGCACGUGACAACCUUUUGUAAAGAAAAGAAAUAAAAUGCUUUCUAUUCACCCACCGUCACCUCACACACUCCCUCCUAAUUUCUUUCUCAUUAAACAAGGUUAAAUAAAAAAACAAAAUGAGUGUGGCAGCAGGGCCUAGCUAGCGUAACAGCUAUUCAAAUGAAUGCAAAGGAAAAACAAAAAUAAAAAAAAAUCAAAACAUGCAUCACCUGCCAGCAACGUAAAUCAGGGAGAGAAAUGUGCUUCUCUCCUUCAAUUAAAUCAAACAGCUCAAAAUUUCUUCACUUGCCGUCACAUCUAAAUGCAAAAGUAGUUGCUAAAUAUUUUUUUAAUGAGAGAUUAAAAGGCAGUGUUCCAACACUUAAAAUAAAACGUUGCAGCGAAAUGAGAAUGCCUCCGAGAAUUUGAGAGCCUCAGA
rnacentral:lncRNA from 1 species